rnacentral:lncRNA from 1 species
UGAUGCUCUGCCUUGACCUGCUUACAUACCAAACAUUUAGAUACAAAGUCGGCUAUGUCUCUCUUCAUCCCAUGCCACCAAAAACGAGGUCGCAUGCUCUGGUACAUUUUGGUGCUUCCUAGAUGCAUGGCAAACUUCGAGCUAUGGGACUCCGUCAUGAUGUCCCUUUUUAACCCACUGUCAUCUGGGACACACACCCUGUCUUGGAAACGAAGUAGUCCAUCGGCAGAUAUUCAGAAUUCUGAGCUCCCUCCCUGUUCUGCAUCCUUCUUGCACGCUACCAGGGCGGGGUCCACUGUCUGGGCUUCCCUUAUUCUCUGAAUUAACUCGGGCUGGACUGUCAGGCGGCCCAAACAUGUGACUCUCUUCAGAUCAUGAAGUCGCACCUGUUGUGUGGUCCCAAUUGGUCUGCAUUCUGAA